rnacentral:rRNA from 1 species
UAAUACGUAGGGUGCGAGCGUUGUCCGGAUUUAUUGGGCGUAAAGGGCUCGUAGGCGGCCUGUCGCGUCGGAAGUGAAAGCCCACUGCUUAACGGUGGGUCUGCUUCCGGUACGGGCAGGCUGGAGUAUGGCAGGGGAGACUGGAAUUCCUGGUGUAGCGGUGGAAUGCGCAGAUAUCAGGAGGAACACCGGUGGCGAAGGCGGGUCUCUGGGCCAUUACUGACGCUGAGGAGCGAAAGCGUGGGGAGCGAACAGGAUUAGAUACCCUGGUAGUCCACGCCGUAAACGUUGGGCGCUAGGUGUGGGGACUGUUUCCACGGUCUCCGUGCCGGAGCUAACGCAUUAAGCGCCCCGCCUGGGGAGUACGGCCGCAAGGCUA